AUCCCCCCACCCACAAAUCCCCAAUUGCCCCAAAUGUAAACCUUGCUCUCGCACUCUCAGUCUCGCACUCUCGCACUCUCAGUCUCGAGCUCAAAGCCCUUCCUCCCACCACCUGGUAGCGCCGCCGAAGCCUUCUUCACAGCGCCGCCGAAGCCUUCUUCACAGCGCCGCCGAACCUUUCCUCCUCGCGGACACCACGACCAAGCCCCAGCCAGCACCACCCUCGUGGAGUCAGGGUCGUCGACACACACCGGCGCCACCCCAGCACCGUUUCUGGCCACACGCAGCACCGAGCCACCCAGCACAGCACCAACGUUUCUGUGGUUUAUGUAGGGGUUCUUUGUUUUAGACUUGUGAAGGCUAAAAGAAUUCAGGACAUGGAAAGACAGGCCAAUGAAGAUCUGGUUCUUGAAAGUAGAUGGGUUGGCAACAGUAAAAUGCUUUCUGCAGUUGUCACAAGAACUCAGCCAGUUCUUGAGAGUGGUGUUCAGUAGUUUUUGUUUUUGUUAGUAUUGGUUCAAUUACUUUACUGCUUUUCUCUUUGAUAAACAGGGAUCUUCUAUUAUUAUAAGCAAUGAAGAAAGCAUUUGUAUCUUCAUCAUAACAUGAAAUUCCGGUUUUCUUUUUAUACUAA